AGACUAACUUGGUUUGGAGAAAAUUGGGAGAUUUUAUUAACUGGUUGAAGCCAGAAAGCCCCAAGGGAAACAAGCAAUAAGAGCCCUCCCUCACUUUGCUACAACAUUACAAGCAUCUUUCAGAAGUGCAGGUCAUCAGCAAUUCAUAGAGAAGUUCUAACCACAAUCAAGCUGUAAGGACACUUGUGAGAAGCUUUUCCAUCCGAGAAACACAAACAGUUCCAUCGAUCUUACUAACACCCUAGAGGGAGCGAAGUGGGAUGAUCUGUCACUACACCUGCAGCACCACGCUCGGAGGACAGCUCCUGCUCGCAGCUUCCAGACUCAGGUAAAAAAAAAAAAAAAAAAAAAAAAAAAAAUUGUGAGCGGGCGCCGUGCAUGCAUUUCAAUACCAGAUGCGCGUCGCAACCUAGCCCCUGUAGAGGCAAUCUGCUGCUGCUGCUGCUGCUAAGUGUCCUUUGGUGGCUGGUUGCAGCUUCAAGGUUUAAGAAAUCCCAUCUUUCAGGAAGCCUGAGGGGAAGGAAGGAAGUACGGGCGAAAUCAUCAGAUUGGCUUCCCAGAUUUGGGGAUCUGAAGCGGGCCCACGUCUUCCGGCCAACUUCCAUUGAACUUCCAGCACUCGAAAGGGACCGAAAUGGAGAGCAAAGGCAGGAAAGAAUAUGAAGAGACCCUGAAGAGAGGAGAUCCCAUUGGACUAAGGAGAUGGAAAGAUGCGCUGGUGUCAAGUUCGGAGAUGAUAUGGAGGGGAGGGGAUUUGAGAUGCAGAGAACUGUCAGAGCAAGUGUGUGGGGGAGGAAGGAGGAAGAUCAGACAUGCCUACGGAAUAGCAAGUAAUCAAGUCAUUGAUUUAUCUGGAUCUGUGGUCCUUAUCAAGAUUCAUAAAUUGAUGGUGCCAUUUUUAGAGAAGUGUAAGAUCUGAGGCCAAGAAGUCUGUAUUUCACAAAAUCAAUAAUUCAAGAAAAUAUGGCAAGGGACACGUGAUCAUCUGCUAAAUGCAUAGUAUAGAAUGUAAUGGAACAUGAGUAAUUGUGACCCAAACCUCCAUCUUCAGCCUUCAAGCAAGAAGAAAUGAUUUGUUUUAAAGAUGGGUAUGUAAAUGAUUUUUGACAAAUUUCAAGCAGCACUUGACUCCUGUGGGCUUUUCGAUUUGGAAUGAAUACUUGUCUGUAUUAUCCAACUUCUUUGUACUUCUGGAAAAAAACUAUUUUGUUGCUGAAAAGAAAAACCUUCAAGUUUUAAUAAACCCUCCUGAAUCCUCUGCAGUUCCUAUUGACAUAUUAACAUAAAUUUUGGUUAAGGACAAAUAAAUUCGAAUUGUAAAGAUAUAAUUUCCUGAGAACUGCAUGUAUGGUCUGAAUGAAUGAACUCCUCUAUAAGGGACUAACAAUGUACAAGCCAGUUUAGGCUUUAAACAUUUUUUUCCCUAGUUUCAGACUUUUCUCUUUAUAUUCCCUCUACAUCCUCUCACUAUAUAUUCUGAUUCUGAUUGUGGUUCUAUACAUAUGCUGGUUUCAGAAUAAAGUAUCGAGACUUAACAUUCAUUCUAUGAUUUUUGCGUGAAGUGGAUAUUUGUAGCUUGAGUUUCAGAUCGAGUGCAGUGGUAAGGUGGAAAGAGAUGGAAGUACCAGGGUCAGAAUCCACUCUGUUAAGGGUCACUCUAACUUAAUCGCAAGUGGCCUUGGGCAAUUAAAAAAACCCUCCUGGGUGUCUAGGUGGCUCAGUUGUUUAAGUAUCUGCCUUCAG
rnacentral:lncRNA from 1 species